UACGGGGGGGCAAGCGUUGUUCGGAAUUACUGGGCGUAAAGGGCUCGUAGGCGGCCAACUAAGUCAGAUGUGAAAUCCCCAGGCUUAACCUGGGAACUGCAUCUGAUACUGGAUGGCUUGAAUCCGGGAGAGGGAUGCAGAAUUCCAGGUGUAGCGGUGAAAUGCGUAGAUAUCUGGAGGAAUACCGGUGGCGAAGGCGGCAUCCUGGACCGGCAUUGACGCUGAGGAGCGAAAGCUAGGGGAGCAAACGGG
rnacentral:rRNA from 1 species